rnacentral:tRNA from 1 species
GGACCGCUGGCCGGCGGGCGGCGGGCUGCUCCCCGCCGCCCGGAUCCCCGGCGGGGAGCUCGCCGCGGUCGCCGCGGCGGCGGACUUC